CCAUCCAUAUUGAUGGCAGCGGGUGAUUUAUAUUGCCAGGACCAGCAUCCAAUGGCAGCGCCUGUUGAUCAAUCAAACCUAAUCUGAUUGGAUGGAAUCCUUAAAGAACAGCCAGAUGGGAGCCAUCAGAGUCAGUCUGUCCACUGCAGCCUCUGAUUCACUUCCUGUUCCCAGAAGGCCUCUCUCUGGGCGCUGAAGGAUGAUGCUGCACCACAGAGCUGGACCAGAUAGAUCCGGACUGUAAUAAAUCCAUCCAACCACUCCACUCGGCCUGGAUGAAAUGAUGGCUACCUGCCUGUCCACCUACCUUAUUCACUCAUUGUGUAUCACCGGAGUCUUCCACAAGCUAGUGACGACGACCACCAGGCCAUCAGUCUCAGACCUUCAUCCUGCCAACUCCAGCCAGGAGGGUCUGCAGGACACCGUGUAGCCACGCUGGAGUCACUGAAAGCUGGCUUG